rnacentral:rRNA from 1 species
GUGGGGAAUAUUGGACAAUGGGCGCAAGCCUGAUCCAGCAAUGCCGCGUGGGUGAAGAAGGCCUUCGGGUUGUAACGCCCUUUUGUACGGGAAGAAAUCAUUCGGGAUAAUACCCUGGGUGGAUGACGGUACCGUAAGAAUAAGCACCGGCUAACUUCGUGCCAGCAGCCGCGGUAAUACGAAGGGUGCAAGCGUUAAUCGGAAUUACUGGGCGUAAAGCGUGCGUAGGUGGUUGUUCAAGUCUGUCGUGAAAGCCCUGGGCUCAACCUGGGAAUGGCGAUGGAAACUGGGCGACUAGAGUGCGGUAGAGGAUGGCGGAAUUCCCGGUGUAGCGGUGAAAUGCGUAGAGAUCGGGAGGAACAUCCGUGGCGAAGGCGGCCAUCUGGACCAGCACUGACACUGAGGCACGAAAGCGUGGGGAGCAAACAGGAUUAGAUACCCGUGUAGUCC